UCGUGUUUGAGCCUGGUGAACAGAGGCUCAGACUUGACGAUCUGUUCUCUUCCGUUACCCUCGAUUCCGGUGAGGUCGAGGGCACAGUUGCCUUGGGGAAUCUGGUGUUCCCGCCCUCGUCCGCUCGCGUGUUGGGCUGGACGAUAACCGUUACUUCGGUUAAUUCCGAAGUGCAAUUUCGAACUGGUGUAGGCCAUUCGAAGACCGCACGUGUUGUUGUUCCGUGCUCGUUCCCGCGCCCGGCUGGAGCUGUCGAAGCUCCGCCUGUUAAUUUGGUCGGUCCUGAGGACACGACUUUCGGUGUUUUCGGCUCGGUGACGGUUUACUUCAAACCGCC
rnacentral:misc_RNA from 1 species